rnacentral:misc_RNA from 1 species
AUAACCAAUCAAGCUCUGCUUGGCCUUGGGGCCCGCUGUUUUAGCGGCUCUUAAAACCAGUGGCAGUGCCGUCUGGCUCUAAGCGUAGUAAUUCUCCUCGCUAUAGAGCCUUGAUGCUCACCCGCCAGAACUUCAACUUUUCAA